rnacentral:rRNA from 1 species
ACAUGGCUCAGGAUGAACGCUAGCUACAGGCUUAACACAUGCAAGUCGAGGGGCAGCAUGAACUUAGCUCGCUAAGUUUGAUGGCGACCGGCGCACGGGUGAGUAACACGUAUCCAACCUGCCGAUGACUCGGGGAUAGCCUUUCGAAAGAAAGAUUAAUACCCGAUGGCAUAAUUCUUCCGCAUGGUAGAACUAUUAAAGAAUUUCGGUCAUCGAUGGGGAUGCGUUCCAUUAGG